rnacentral:lncRNA from 1 species
UCAAAUGAAAGAAAAACAAACACAAAAGUCUGAGUCACUGAUACGUCCCAAGUGAUCACUGAUCUGGCGGAUGAUAUGGGUACUCUAGGAACUGAGGGUACAACUGGUACUUCGGCCAUUACGAUACUGGCGGAUAUGCUGGCCACGGAGGGGGGUAGGUCACUCUGGUGAAAUAACUGUCCUGGUAGUAGGAAAUGUGUCCACUCUGCAGUGCUGCUGGUGGUGGAUGUAUGUAAUCUGAUGUCCCACCUGCUGAAUCCACUCUCCCGGCUGAGCCUGAGCCCGCUCAAACUGCUCAGCUCAUCGAUCCUAAUGGCUUCUAGCCUAUGCUCUCGAUGACGUACUCCUGAAAAUCCUGGCAAAUUUCUCGCACCUCGCGCUCAACCCUCUCUGUCCUCUGCUCUGUGCUCUCCCAUGCAACUUUGCUGUGUCCGUCUAACUGCUGGAAGGCAUACCUGAGCCCUCUUUGACUGACUAGAACAUCACUCACACUCAUGAGCAAACCCCCCACCUGAGUUGUGAGUGUCUCAACUGAAUCUAGAGGGAAGUCUGCUUCCUCCUUCUCUCGCAUCUCGUCCCUCUGAAAAAAUAGUAGCUCUCAAAUUGGGAACUCCAUACUACCGAAGAGUCCGAACAGUGAUGGGAAACCUGCGAUGAUACAACGGGUCCACCCCAACGUGUAUAAACCCAUAUUUUCUGGUAGCUCAUUUACCGAGAAACAAAAUGGUCAACCUCCAAGCCAAAAUCUGAUGCUUCCCGCCUCUCGGGUAGAGGUGUAUCUCGUUAUCCUGACUGUAGAGUAUAACUCCCUGGUCACAUGCGGGAGCUCUAAGAC